UGGCGGCAGGCCUAACACAUGCAAGUCGAGCGGUAACAGAACUAGCUUGCUAGUUGCUGACGAGCGGCGGACGGGUGAGUAACGCGUGGGAAUCUGCCUGGUAGUGGGGGACAACAGUUGGAAACGACUGCUAAUACCGCAUACGCCCUUCGGGGGAAAGUGGGGGAUCUUCGGACCUCACGCUAUCAGAUGAGCCCGCGUCGGAUUAGCUUGUUGGUGAGGUAAAGGCUCACCAAGGCGAUGAUCCGUAGCUGGUCUGAGAGGAUGAUCAGCCACACUGGGACUGAGACACGGCCCAGACUCCUACGGGAGGCAGCAGUGGGGAAUAUUGGACAAUGGGGGCAACCCUGAUCCAGCCAUGCCGCGUGUGUGAAGAAGGCCUUCGGGUUGUAAAGCACUUUCAGAUGUGAGGAAAGGUGUGUGGUUAAUACCCGCAUACUGUGACGUUAACAUCAGAAGAAGCACCGGCUAACUCCGUGCCAGCAG
rnacentral:rRNA from 1 species